GAUGAAGAACGUAGCGAACGUGCGAAACGUAAUGUGAAUUGCAGAAUUCAGUGAAUCAUCGAAUCUUUGAACGCAUCUUGCGCUCCUUGGUAUUCCGAGGAGCAUGCCUGUUUGAGUGUCGUGAAAUACUCUCAAUUUCAAUCUUUUUGUUUGAAAUUGGAUUUGGAUGUUGUUGUGGAUCUUGCUACGACUCAUCCUAAAUGCAUUAGCGAUCUGCCUUGAUCACACACAAUGUGAUAAGAUGAGCAUUGUUAUAAUCAAGUCAUGACUGCUUCUAACCGUCCCUUUGGGACAAACGUCUUAUGUCGUUUGACCUCAAAUCAGGUAGGACUACCCGCUGAACUUAAGCAUAUCAAUAAGUGGAGGA
rnacentral:misc_RNA from 1 species